CCCUACGGGGUGCACCAGGCGCGAAACCUCCGCAAUGCGAGCAAUCGCGACGGGGGAGACCCCAAGUGCCACUCUUAACGGGGUGGCUUUCUUAAGUUAAAA
rnacentral:rRNA from 1 species